AUGACGGCCGACGAUGUUGUUGCGGCCGCCGGUCCGCUUCUCCUUGGCCGUGGCGCCUGGCCCGCGCGUCGGGUAGCCGUCCUUGUCGAGCUUCCAGUCGUGCGGAAGACGGCAACCCGGCGGCUCGAGGAGCCCGAACCGGUGCAGCUCCUCCGUCUCCGGCGUACUCAGGCUAGACGGCCACGCGCUGGGUCCGUCGUCGCCGCCGGUGCCGGAGCUGCUGCCGCGGUGGAACGACAUGUCGCCGGCGGGAUUUUGGGAGGUGGAGACGGGAGAGGAGUGGUCUUUGCGUCGUCGGGCGGGGAGCGGGCGGCGGCGCGGCAGACGAGGGGACGGGGCGGCAGGCGAGGGGACGGACGGGACGGGGCGGCGGGCCGCAGUUCACGCGCCACGACGUGCUUUCAGCGGGCGACGCGUGGUUUGACCACCGACGCGCUUGACCACCGACGCGCUCUCAAAAGUGUCGAAUCUCAGGCGGAGGCUACAGCUCUACAGAUCCAUCCUUCCCCUCCCUCCUUCCCCUCUGGAAAGAUCGCCGUGCUCUACUCCUUCCUCCUUCCCCUCCGGCAAGAUCGUCGUGCUCUGCUCCUCCCUCCUUCCCCUCCGGCAAGAUCCCACAUCCAUCGAUCCAUCCUCAACCGGAACCCCUCUCCCGAUGCCAGAUCCAAUCCUCCUCCCUCCCUCCUCGCCCCGGCUCCCUGCUCCCCUCCCCUUCCAGAUCAGCGCCACCACCUCCCUCCUCCUCCCUCGCCCCGGUUCCCUGCUCCGCCGAGGCCGCCGUCGGGAGAUCCGACUUCGCCGACGGGAAUGGGGCCGGAUCCGCCACGCCCGAGCGCUCCAUCCUCGUCGACAGGGACGACUACAUCCUGGCCUUGGUGCUUCCGGCAGCGGCGGCUCAUCUCCUUCCUCGGGCACCACAACUUCAACCGCACCAUGGAUGUGUUGGUGACCCAGACGGACCUAGCCGAGCUGGUGGACACGGGCUCCUGGGACAAGGCCAUCGAGUACCUCUUCCGCUUCCUGCCCUCCGACCGCCUGCUGGGCGUCCACGGUCGCGCCCUCUUCCACUACCUCCGCAUGCACAAGGCCAUCGACGACGUGCUCGCCGGAGCCCCGGAGGCGCGCUCCGUCACCACCGCCCUCGACCAGUGCAUCAUCCGCCACCCCACCAAGAGCCACGCCGUCACCAGGCUCUGCGCCAUCUUCUCCUCCCUCCUCUGCUCCAAGCGAUACAGGUGUAGCUGCAGAGACGCUGGGCAGAGUGUAAGACCGGAGCUGUAUGGAGAUAGUAAUGCUAGGUUCUUCACUUACUGGACAACUGAUGCGUACCAAGAGACGGGGUGCUACAACCACAACUGCCGUGGGUUUGUCCAGACGACCAACAAGAUAGCCAUCGGCGCGGCUAUCACGCCACAAUCGGUGUACAACGGGAGGCAGUUUGAUAUUAAUCUGAUGAUAUGGAAGCGUAAAGAGCUAUGUGACCCCUCCUGGAUGGGGCUUCGCAUCCUUGUGACAGGGUUUGUCGGAAUCGCCAUCGCUUUAGGGUGCUUCUCCGGUGCCGCCACCAUCACCAAGCGCAGGGAGUACCUGUACCUCGGUGGCCUGACCUCUUCUGGCAUGUCGAUCCUUCGACAUGAAACUCUCAAGAACGCAGGUGACAAGAAGAGGAAGAGGAUGUCCUGA
rnacentral:rRNA from 1 species